rnacentral:rRNA from 1 species
CCUACGGGAGGCAGCAGUGAGGAAUAUUGGUCAAUGGGCGCGAGCCUGAACCAGCCAAGUAGCGUGAAGGAUGACUGCCCUACGGGUUGUAAACUUCUUUUAUAAAGGAAUAAAGUGAGGCACGUGUGCCUUUUUGUAUGUAUUUAAGAAUAAGGAUCGGGUAACUCCGGGCCAGCAGCCUGCGUAAUUAGGGAGAUCCGAGCGUUAUCCGGAUUUAUUGGGUUUAAAGGGAGCGUAGAUGGGUUGUUAAGUCAGUUGUGAAAGUUUGCGGGUCAAACGUAAAAUUGCAAUUGAUACUGGCAGCCUUGAGUACAGUUGAGGUAGGCGGAAUUCGUGGUGUAGCGGUGAAAUGCUUAGAUAUCACGAAGAACUCCGAUUGCGAAGGCAGCCUACUAAACUGCCACUGACAUUGAUGCUCGAAAGUGUGGGUAUCAAACAGGAUUAGAUACCCCAGUAGUC